UAUUGGACAAUGGGCCCAAGCCUGAUCCAGCCAUGCCGCGUGAGUGAUGAAGGCCUUCGGGUUGUAAAGCUCUUUUGGCGGGGACGAUGAUGACGGUACCCGCAGAAUAAGCCCCGGCUAACUUCGUGCCAGCAGCCGCGGUAAGACGAAGGGGGCUAGCGUUGUUCGGAAUUACUGGGCGUAAAGCGUGCGCAGGCGGUUUCGUAAGCUGGAGGUGAAAUCCCCGGGCUUAACCUGGGAAUGGCCUUCAGGACUGCGAGGCUAGAGUGCGGCAGAGGGAGGUGGAAUUCCACGUGUAGCAGUGAAAUGCGUAGAGAUGUGGAGGAACACCGAUGGCGAAGGCAGCCUCCUGGGCCAGCACUGACGCUCAUGCACGAAA
rnacentral:rRNA from 1 species